AAAGAUUUAAAACCAGGACCCUCAGCAGGAUAUAACCAACGAGUGAGGAGUGAUAUCCCAAGAGACAUAAAAACCACUCAGUAAUACCCUCUAUUAAACUAGAUCAAUAUAUCUACACACUAAAGAUCCCAAUCACUGGAUCAACAUGCUGUCUUCAUGAACUAUUACAGAGCAACUCCACUUCUGUCACAGAUCGAUAGGAAGGAAAAUUCUGCUGGCUGCUUUGAGGAAAUAGAAAUUAGUCUCUAUAUUUAAUGCAACUUGGGUUCAGGAUUCGCUGCCUAGAAUCCCCACGUGAAAGCUAUCCUGGCAAGCUGAAGAUGUAACCGGAUUUGCACUUGAGAAGAGAAAAUCGACGAGGAACUGAGAGCAUCACAGGAAAAAGAACAUCCUCUUGUGCAGGAAACAUAGACCAGAAUGGGAUGGAUUCCUACAAGUGUCUCUGCCCGGAGUGAGCUAAGCAGCAGUGUUCAAACCACUGAAAUAAGAGUGGUGCAAGACAGAGGAUUUCUCUAUUUUGCACAAUGUCAUUAAUCAAUAUAGCAUUUGACUGCCUCAGCUCUUUUCUUACUACAAGUUCCUGACUAGAGCUGGUGAACAUUUUUGAAAUUUUGAUGGAAUUUGAGGGGAAAAAACAAGAACAUUUUAAAAUAUUUUUUCAUAUUUUUCAUUUUUUUCUGUUUUUUGACCAACUACACAGGUACUUGAAAUGUUUGGAUUCUUCAAGAAAAGGGUAAAAUUAUUUUUAAAAUUCAUUAAAUGUUUUCCCGCGUUUUUCCCAACAAGCUCUAUUUUUGACUAACCGUACCCCUAUCCUUCUCCUUACUGAUACUUUGUGUGUUCUUCUUAACACUACCUGUCAUUAGCCAUCUGUCCAUAUUUCACUGUUACAUACAGAUAUAGUUCUAGUGUGACUUAUACAACCAAAACAAAAAUCCUGACUGUUCUGAGCCCAGUUGAACUAAACAGUUGCUGGGGAACUGAAUCCAUGCUGUAUGGUGAUUGGAGGGGUGGGCUCUGUACAUCAGCAUUUCUGGGUAUUUGUGUUUUCACUGGUACAUCUUGUCUGGUAAAUUAACUACCGUACUUUAUAUAACAAAUUCCCAUGGAAUUUUACAGCUUUGU